AAGAUGAACAAUGUGAAGAACAAGUUGAAGGCCCUUCUAAUCAAACAAGAAAAAGAGGAAAAACAAAGAUGAAAAGUGUACAUGGACGACAUGAGCGUAAAUUGAUUUUACUUAACAACUUAAAUCAACCCGUCGGUCCUAGUGACGCAGUUGUGACAGAGUUUGGAAGCUUCCUCGGCAUAUUGGCAAGGAAUGCGACUCUAUGUCCUCUUGAUAUUUUGGAUUGGAGGAAGAUGGACACAAAAGAGGAUAUAUGGGAAUAUACCAAGGAUAAAUAUGAUAUUCCUGAAGCUG